AUUGAACGCUGGCGGCAGGCCUAACACAUGCAAGUCGAACGGUAGCACAGAGAGCUUGCUCUCGGGUGACGAGUGGCGGACGGGUGAGUAAUGUCUGGGAAACUGCCCGAUGGAGGGGGAUAACUACUGGAAACGGUAGCUAAUACCGCAUAACGUCGCAAGACCAAAGUGGGGGACCUUCGGGCCUCACACCAUCGGAUGUGCCCAGAUGGGAUUAGCUAGUAGGUGGGGUAAUGGCUCACCUAGGCGACGAUCCCUAGCUGGUUUGAGAGGAUGACCAGCCACACUGUAACUGAGACACUGUACAGACUCCUACGUGAGGCAGAAGUGGGGAAUAUUGCACAAGGGGCGCAAGCCUGAUGCAGCCAUGCCGCGUGUAUGAAGAAGGCCUUCGGGUUGUAAAGUACUUUCAGCGGGGAGGAAGGCGGUGAAGUUAAUAACUUCACCGAUUGACGUUACCCGCAGAAGAAGCACCGGCUAACUCCGUGCCAGCCGCCGCGGUAA
rnacentral:rRNA from 1 species